GCUGCUGUCGCCGCUCCCCAAGGCGAGGGCAGCACGGGCGGCGGCAGCGCCGAGCCCAGCGCGCCCCGCGGAGCCGCUGCGGGCGGGCAGCGGGCACGGGCAUGGCAAUGCGGCAUGCACCGCCUGGCUGACCACCGGCCUAAAGAAAACAAAAAUAUUAAACCUUACUUGACUCCUUUCAAGAAUUAUUGCUUUCUAAUCAAGGUUGACAGUCUUUCCUUUCUUACAGAAAUGAGGUAUCUUCAGUCUUGGGCAGAGGAGCAUCCUGAAAAGAGUAUUCACGCCAAGAAAAAGAGACUAAUUUUAUUUUGCUGA
rnacentral:lncRNA from 1 species